rnacentral:tRNA from 1 species
UCCAGGGUAGCUCAACGGUAGAGCAUUCGGCUGUUAACCGACAGGUUGGAGGUUCGAGUCCUCUCCCUGGAGCCA